rnacentral:lncRNA from 1 species
GUCACAAAGGAGAUCUGACCAAUGUAGGGAAAUGUCACAAAGCAACUGACAGUGAGUUAGUCUCAGAAAGUAAGAAUACACAGAAGGCUAAAAACACCUAAGAACCAUGAAAAAAUAAAAACAGACUGUGUUCACAGAUUAGGACAAAAAUGAGCAGAGCAUUUCCACAGAGAUGUAAUUUAAAGCAGCGAUCUAGGAAAAAACAAGAGAAAGUAAUCUGAAACAAUUCUUCAAGUUGCUACAAAGUACACAUGCUGGAGAUAAAACCAGGGCAUUGUGCCUGCUGGGCAGAUUUGAUCACUGAACUACUAUUUUCUGAUUUGAGCAGUGAAGAGACCAAAGACUGCAGGAAGAUGAAAAGACAACUAACUCUCCAAGCCACAGUUUAGACAUUAAGGGAUUCUAAUAAAAAAUAAGAAAAUAUGAAAGGAAAACCUAUGAAGUUUGGC